AACGAACGCUGGCGGCAGGCCUAACACAUGCAAGUCGAGCGAGAAAGCACCUUCGGGUGUUAUUAAAGCGGCAGACGGGUGCGUAACACGUGGGAAUCUACCUAGUUCUAAGGAAUAGCCAUUGGAAACGAUGAUUAAUACCUUAUGUGCCCUACGGGGUAAGGAUUUAUCGGAAUUAGAUGAGCCCGCGCCUGAUUAGUUUGUUGGUGGGGUAAAGGCCUACCAAGACUACGAUCAGUAGCUGAUCUUAGAGGAUGAUCAGCCACACUGGAACUGAGACACGGUCCAG
rnacentral:rRNA from 1 species